GGUAGUAGCAAAUAUUCAAACGAGAGCAUGGAAGGCCAAAGUGGAGAAGGGUUCCAUGUGAACAGCAGUUGAACAUGGGUCAGUCGGUCCUGAGAGAUGGGCGAACGCCGUUCGGAAGGGCGGCGCGAUGGUCUACGUCGCCCCCGGCAAAUCGAAAGGGAGCUGGGUUCAGAUUCCCGGACCUAGAGUGGCGGAGACGCAAACGAUUCUGGAGAAGCUGGCGGGAGCCCCGGGAAGAGUUCUCUUUGUGAAGGGCAGGGCGCCGUGGAACGGAUUUUCGCAUAUAGUGUCUAAAUAGUUGGAAAAUGUCUUCCUGCACAUUUGCACCGAGCCUCCAUUUAUCACCGGAAUUUUGCUACUUUGUAACGCGUUACUUUGUAACGGGAGUUGGGAGUAACGCGUUGUAACGCGUUACUCCCAACACUUCUUUUGAAUUCAUGAAAAUGGGAUUCCUUUU
rnacentral:ncRNA from 1 species